CCUACGGGAGGCAGCAGUGAGGAAUAUUGGUCAAUGGGCGCGAGCCUGAACCAGCCAAGUCGCGUGAGGGAGGACGGCCCUACGGGUUGUAAACCUCUUUUGCCGGGGAGCAACGAGCGCCACGUGUGCCGUCACUGGGAUUACCCGGAGAAAAAGCAUCGGCUAACUCCGUGCCAGCAGCCGCGGUAAUACGGAGGAUGCGAGCGUUAUCCGGAUUUAUUGGGUUUAAAGGGUGCGAAGGCGGCUCUUUAAUUCAGUGGUCAAAUUGAGGGGCUCAACCCCUGCCCGCCAUUGAAACUGGCGUUGUUGAGUGGAAGAGAAGUAUGCGGAAUGCGUGGUGUAGCGGGGAAAUGCAUAGAUAUCACGCAGAACCCCGAUUGCGAAGGCAGCAUGCCGGCUUCCGACUGACGCUGAAGCACGAAAGCGUGGGGAUCGAACAGGAUUAGAUACCCGUGUAGUC
rnacentral:rRNA from 1 species